GGAUGCCCUCCGUCGUCAACCCUUAGAACCUGUUACCCCCUUUGGGACUAGGUCGGUACGGCGCACUCACUACUUCCGGAAGCCCAACAUUUUGAGAAAGCGCGUGCUGCUAUUACUGCCAUCACGCUCUUCUUCGAGGCCGAUUGAAGCACGGUCGUCGGCGCCAUUAUUAGUUCGA
rnacentral:rRNA from 1 species